rnacentral:sRNA from 1 species
CGUGUCGCUCGCUUUCUGUCAGCCUCUCUCCCUCUCCCUCUCCCCUCUCCUUCCUCUCGCUUCCUCUCUCGCACCUGAGCGUACGCACCUGCCCGGGCCCGGCUCCCUCCUCCUCUCCCCUCCCUCUUUCCCCGCCCGGCCGCGGGAGCCUCGUGGCUGCGUCACCGCCGCCCCCCCAGACAAGAUGGACACCGCGGAGGAAGACAUAUGUAGAGUGUGUCGGUCGGAAGGAACACCUGAGAAACCGCUUUAUCAUCCUUGUGUAUGUACUGGCAGUAUUAAGUUUAUCCAUCAAGAAUGCUUAGUUCAAUGGCUGAAACACAGUCGAAAAGAAUACUGUGAAUUAUGCAAGCACAGAUUUGCUUUUACACCAAUUUAUUCUCCAGAUAUGCCUUCACGGCUUCCAAUUCAAGACAUAUUUGCUGGACUGGUUACAAGUAUUGGCACUGCAAUACGAUAUUGGUUUCAUUAUACACUUGUGGCCUUUGCAUGGUUGGGAGUUGUUCCUCUUACAGCAUGCCGCAUCUACAAGUGUUUGUUUACUGGCUCCGUGAGCUCACUACUGACACUGCCAUUAGAUAUGCUGUCAACGGAAAAUUUGUUGGCAGAUUGUUUGCAGGGUUGUUUUGUGGUGACGUGCACACUGUGUGCAUUCAUCAGCCUGGUGUGGUUGAGAGAGCAGAUAGUCCAUGGGGGAGCACCAAUUUGGUUGGAGCAUGCUGCCCCACCCUUCAAUGCUGCGGGGCAUCACCAAAAUGAGGCUCCAGCAGGAGGAAAUGGUGCAGAAAAUGUUGCUGCUGAUCAGCCUGCUAACCCACCAGCUGAGAACGCAGUGGUGGGGGAAAACCCUGAUGCCCAGGAUGACCAGGCAGAAGAGGAGGAGGAGGACAAUGAGGAGGAAGAUGACGCUGGUGUGGAAGAUGCGGCAGAUGCUAAUAAUGGAGCCCAGGAUGACAUGAAUUGGAAUGCUUUAGAAUGGGACCGAGCUGCCGAAGAGCUUACAUGGGAAAGAAUGCUAGGACUUGAUGGAUCACUAGUUUUUCUGGAACAUGUCUUCUGGGUGGUAUCUUUAAAUACACUGUUCAUUCUUGUUUUUGCAUUUUGCCCUUACCAUAUUGGUCAUUUCUCCCUUGUUGGUUUGGGAUUUGAAGAACACGUGAGUAUAAUACUUUUACAAAGUUCAUUCAUUACUCCCAAAUGUGAUUAUUAAUCAAAUAGUAUUCUAAAGAGUUACAUCAUUUCUUCAUUGGCAUUAUGCAAGGGAAUAGUUAGGCAAUACCGUGUCAUUCUUUUUUAAAAAAAAUAACAGUGGCUCAAGAGAUAGUGGUCAUGUUGCCAACUAAUGAAAAUGUGCUCUGAAAUCCAUUCAGCUGGGUGGGCCUGAGGCAUACCGUGGGAAAGUUCCCCACAGGCAGAUUUUCUGUCCAUCUCAAGAACUUGUAUGUUCUCUUCUUUCCCUUUCCCCAGGUGCCCCCUGCUGAAUUUAGAAAAGUAACAAUAUAUCAGUCAGUUAAAAAAGGGUAGACUAUUUUGGAAUGACGGGUUGUAGUGUUUUCUAGAGUGCUUUAGUUUUGACAUUUUAUCAGUAUUUUCCAGAGGUAAAUAAAUUUUGGAAGGAUUAUUACUUCUCUAUUGGGGCCCUAGAACAAUUUAGUCUUUUAUGGAAGAGCUGACUAUCUGGGAUCAUAUGCUCAGUUUGUAUAUUUGAGAUCUGAGAGAUCACAUUCUGAAGUCUUCUCAUAUUUAGUACACCUCUGAUUCUCACUAGUUGAAUGCAAGAACUUGAAAGGUUCAGGUAAGUGUUUUGAAAAAUUUUGACUUUCCAAACUUUUGCCACUUGCUAUCUGAAACUCAGGAAUCAAAAAAUACCAACAGGCAUUGUUACUUUGAAAAUUCUUUCUGUAAGUUGAGAAUGGGACAGAUUUGCAGAGCAAGGGAAACUUCAACAGUUACUUCUAGUGGUAGGAAAUGAGGUGGCUAGGAUAUUACCCAGCUGGUGGGUGACUUGGGCAGUGUGUUCCUGCUUUCAGUGGUUAGCCUUUAGCAAAUCUGCUUUAGAGUGAGAGUAGAGGGCAGGCUGUUGUAAUACAGUGCUCUUGUUUUUGUAAAAUUUAAUUCACUCUACUGUUAUUUUGUCUCCUUGGGUUAAGUGUUACUUAAUUUUUCUUCAUUUUUUAGUAAUAUAUAACGUCAGUGAGAGAAUUUGGUUUUCAGAGAUGUCAUCCAAAGGAGAUUUUACAGUUGUUUUCUAGUUAUAAAUUGUCUCGACAAUUGUGUUUUAGUCAUUUAGAUUGUUUAAUAUGGGAAAACCGGAGUGUAGGACAUGUUGUAAAAUUAAAUUUUAUUUACUUUUUUCUUAUUUCCAGGUCCAAGCAUCUCAUUUUGAAGGCCUAAUCACAACCAUAGUUGGGUAUAUACUUUUAGCAAUAACACUGAUAAUUUGUCAUGGCUUGGCAACUCUUGUGAAAUUUCAUAGAUCUCGUCGCUUACUGGGAGUCUGCUAUAUUGUUGUUAAGGUAAUUCCUGUUAUAACUUAAAAUUGGAAAUGAUUUCUCCUACAUUUGGGUGAUACUGAUGACCUUUAUUUUCACUUAAGGUCUCUUUGUUAGUGGUGGUAGAAAUUGGAGUAUUCCCUCUCAUUUGUGGUUGGUGGCUGGAUAUCUGUUCCUUGGAAAUGUUUGAUGCUACUCUGAAAGAUCGAGAACUGAGCUUUCAGUCGGCUCCAGGUACUACCAUGUUUCUGCAUUGGCUAGUGGGAAUGGUAUAUGUCUUCUACUUUGCCUCCUUCAUUCUACUACUGAGAGAGGUACUUCGACCUGGUGUCCUAUGGUUUCUAAGGAAUUUGAAUGAUCCAGAUUUCAAUCCAGUACAGGAAAUGAUCCAUUUGCCAAUAUAUAGGCAUCUCCGAAGAUUUAUUUUGUCAGUGAUUGUCUUUGGCUCCAUUGUCCUCCUGAUGCUUUGGCUUCCUAUACGUAUAAUUAAGAGUGUGCUGCCUAAUUUUCUUCCAUACAAUGUCAUGCUCUAUAGUGAUGCUCCAGUGAGUGAACUGUCCCUCGAGCUGCUUCUGCUUCAGGUUGUCUUGCCAGCAUUACUCGAACAGGGACACACGAGGCAGUGGCUGAAGGGGCUGGUGCGAGCGUGGACUGUGACCGCCGGAUACUUGCUGGAUCUUCAUUCUUAUUUAUUGGGAGACCAGGAAGAAAAUGAAAACAGUGCAAAUCAACAAGUUAACAAUAAUCAGCAUGCUCGAAAUAACAACGCUAUUCCUGUGGUGGGAGAAGGCCUUCAUGCAGCCCACCAAGCUAUACUCCAGCAGGGAGGGCCUGUUGGCUUUCAGCCUUACCGCCGACCUUUAAAUUUUCCACUCAGGAUAUUUCUGUUGAUUGUCUUCAUGUGUAUAACAUUACUGAUUGCCAGCCUCAUCUGCCUUACUUUACCAGUAUUUGCUGGCCGUUGGUUAAUGUCAUUUUGGACGGGGACUGCCAAAAUCCAUGAGCUCUACACAGCUGCUUGUGGUCUCUAUGUUUGCUGGCUAACCAUAAGGGCUGUGACGGUGAUGGUGGCAUGGAUGCCUCAGGGACGCAGAGUGAUCUUCCAGAAGGUUAAAGAGUGGUCUCUCAUGAUCAUGAAGACUUUGAUAGUUGCGGUGCUGUUGGCUGGAGUUGUCCCUCUCCUUCUGGGGCUCCUGUUUGAGCUGGUCAUUGUUGCUCCCCUGAGGGUUCCCUUGGAUCAGACUCCUCUUUUUUAUCCAUGGCAGGACUGGGCACUUGGAGUCCUGCAUGCCAAAAUCAUUGCAGCUAUAACAUUGAUGGGUCCUCAGUGGUGGUUGAAAACUGUAAUUGAACAGGUUUACGCAAAUGGCAUCCGGAACAUUGACCUUCACUAUAUUGUUCGUAAACUGGCAGCUCCAGUGAUCUCUGUGCUGUUGCUUUCCCUGUGUGUACCUUAUGUCAUAGCUUCUGGUGUUGUUCCUUUACUAGGUGUUACUGCGGAAAUGCAAAACUUAGUCCAUCGGCGGAUUUAUCCAUUUUUACUGAUGGUCGUGGUAUUGAUGGCAAUUUUGUCCUUCCAAGUCCGCCAGUUUAAGCGCCUUUAUGAACAUAUUAAAAAUGACAAGUACCUUGUGGGUCAACGACUCGUGAACUACGAACGGAAAUCUGGCAAACAAGGCUCAUCUCCACCACCUCCACAGUCAUCCCAAGAAUAAAGUAGUUGUCUCAACAACUUGACCUUCCCCUUUACAUGUCCUUUUUUGUGGACUUCUCUCUUUGGAGAUUUUUCCCAGUGAUCUCUCAGCGUUGUUUUUAAGUUAAAUGUAUUUGACUUGUGUUCUCAGCAUUCAGAGAGCAGCAGUGUAAGGUUCUGCUGUUCUCCCUGGAUCUUCUGACAUUACUGCUGUCUGAGAUUUGUAUAUGUGUAAAUACAAGUUCCUUGAUACCCUAAAACCUUGGAUUAAACAGAAUGUGCAUUGUACAUCUUUAAACAAAAUGUAUAUUAAUUUAUUAAAUCUAGUUGUCACUUUAUUUUGGACCUGCUGUGAUCUCGACAGGAAACGUGCCACAGAGCAGUAGUGCACAGGCAAGACUUUUCAGUGACGCCUUGUGGAACGCAGUUCAUGAUGUCCUAGCAGCUCUCACUAAGGGAACUGUACAUUCUUUCUUUCUUGGCUAUUCAGACCUUACCAAGAACGUUAAAGGAAACAAGUAGAAAUCAGCAGUGGAGUGUCUGUGGUAAGAAAACAUGAACUUUAUGCUUCACUGUUAGUUGUUUGUGGAAGUUAUUUUGUAUAACACCAAAGCUGUUGUACA